rnacentral:piRNA from 1 species
AGCAAGAAAGUGCUGUAGCCCAAUGCCAUGGU